rnacentral:rRNA from 1 species
AGGCCUAAUACAUGCAAGUCGAACGGUAACAUUGGUGCUUGCACCAGAUGACGAGUGGCGCACGGGUGCGUAACGCGUAUGCAACCUACCUUUUACUAGAGUAUAGCCCAGAGAAAUUUGGAUUAAUCCUCUAUAACAUCUUUUAAUUUCAUGAUUUUAAGAUUAAAGUUUUAACGGUAAAAGAUGGGCAUGCGUCCUAUUAGUUUGUAGGUGAGGUAACGGCUCACCUAGACUACGAUAGGUAGGGGCCCUGAGAGGGGGAUCCCCCACACUGGUACUGAGACACGGACCAGACUCCUACGGGAGGCAGCAGUAAGGAAUAUUGGACAAUGGACGAAAGUCUGAUCCAGCCAUGCCGCGUGCAGGAUGACAGCCCUACGGGUUGUAAACUGCUUUUAUACAGGAAGAAACACUCCGACGUGUCGGAGCUUGACGGUACUGUAAGAAUAAGGAUCGGCUAA